GCAGGGUAGAGUAUUGAGCGUUAAGUGCUAUUGUUACGGAAUGUUGAACAUAGACGAAAACCUCAGGUUGCGGUUCAUUACUCGCAUUCACUGC
rnacentral:ncRNA from 1 species